rnacentral:tRNA from 1 species
CUUUUCGUGGUGAAGUUGGCAACACGCCUGUCUAGUGAGUAGGAGUCGUUAGUUCGAGUCCCACCGAGAGGA